CUAAUCUUUGGUUUAACAGAUAUAACCGUCCAAAUAACAUCAAAUGACAAUGAUAUUAAGGCACCAUCAUUGCAGAGAAGUUGGUUACUCUGGAGAUAAGACAAAACAGUAGGACAUCCUAUCUAAAUCUGAUAUUAAACAGUGUUAGUCUGCCAAGAACAGUCAGAAGAAUAAUAGUUCAUAUCAAGUUUAGAUAGGAACAUCAUUAACG